GAUGAACGCUGACAGAAUGCUUAACACAUGCAAGUCUUUGGCGAAGCUGUGCUUGCACAGCCUAGCCAAGGCGGACGGGUGAGUAACGCGUAAGGAACUUGCCCUGCAGUCAGGGAUAACAGACGGAAACGACUGAUAAGACCUGGUAAAGUCAGGCGGACUCAUGUCCAGCCUGAUGAAAAGUGAUGCUGCAGGAGAGCCUUGCGUCCUAUUAGCUUGUUGGUGGGGUAACGGCCCACCAAGGCGAUGAUAGGUAGCCGGCCUGAGAGGGUGGACGGCCACAAGGGGACUGAGAUACGGCCCUUACUCCUACGGGAGGCAGCAGUGGGGAAUAUUGGACAAUGGGGGCAACCCUGAUCCAGCAAUUCUGUGUACACGAUGAAGGUUUUCGGAUUGUAAAGUGCUUUCAACAGGGAAGAAAAAAAUGACGGUACCUGCAGAAGAAGCGACGGCUAAAUACGUG
rnacentral:rRNA from 1 species